rnacentral:lncRNA from 1 species
CAACCACUUCCACCACUGUAAUGUUUGAAACCUCUACUAACAUCACAGCCCACAGCAACAGGUGAAGAAACAACAGGGCCAGUGUCAUUACAUCUCCAAUCCAACUACUUAACAACAACAACAUUGCACCCACAACACACACCUACCACAGGUGAGACACAGUUGAAGAAACCACAAAUGAGACAAGUCUAUCACAAACCACCUAAAGAAGUCACCUCUGGCCCAACAACACCUCCACCACUGUAAUUGUUGAACCUCUCUACUUCAACAUCACAGCCCACGCAACAGGUGAAGAAAACAUCAGGGCCAGUUGUCAUUACUUCCAAUCCCACUACUUUAACAACAACAACAAUUGCACCACACAACGACACCUACCACAGGUGGAACGACAACAGUUGAAGAACCACAAUGAGACAAGUCCAUCUACAAAACCCACCUAAAGAAGUCACUUCCGGCCCAACAACCACUUCCACCACGUAAUUGUUGAAACCUCUACUUCAACAUCACAGCCCACAGCAACAGUUGAAGAAACCACAAAUGAGACAAGUCCAUCUACAAAACCACCUAAAGAAGUCACCUCUGGCCCAACAACAACCCACCACUGUAAUUGUGAAACCUCUACUUCAACAUCACAGCCACAGCAACAGGUGAAGAAACAUCAGGGCCAGUUGUCAUUACAUCCAAUCCCACGACACACAACACACAUGACACACAACAAGACACCACCACAGGUGGAACUACAAGAAUUGAAGAAACCACACUGAGUCAAUUUCAACAACAUCCACAAGCCACCUAAAGAAGUCCCACGGGCCCAACAACCACUUCCACCACUGAAUUGUUGAAACCUCUCCUCACUUCAACAUCACAGCCCACAGCAAACAGGUGAGAAAACAUCAGGGCCAGUUGUCAUAACUUCCAAUCCCACUACAUCAACCACAACUUCAAGGCACCCACUACACCUACCACAGGUGAACUACAAGAAGUUGAAGAAACCACAACUGAGACAAUUUCAUCACAUCACACAAGCCACCUAAAGAAGUUCCACGGGCCCAACACACUUCCACCACUGUAAUUGUUGAAACCUCUACUUCAACAUCACAGCCCACAGCAACAGGUGAAGAAAAACAUCAGGGCCAGUUGUCAUUACCACAUCCAAUCUACUUUAACAACAACAACAUGCACCCAAACACGACACCUACCACAGGUGGAACGACAACAGUUGAAGAAACCACAAAUGAGACAAGUCCAUCUACAAAACACCUAAAGAGUCACCCGGGCCCAAACAACCCCACACUGUAAUUGUUGAAACCUCUACUUCAACAUCACA